rnacentral:rRNA from 1 species
GAUGAACGCUGGCGGCGUGCCUAAUACAUGCAAGUCGAGCGAACAGACGAGGAGCUUGCUCCUCUGACGUUAGCGGCGGACGGGUGAGUAACACGUGGAUAACCUACCUAUAAGACUGGGAUAAUUUCGGGAAACCGGAGCUAAUACCGGAUAAUAUAUUGAACCGCAUGGUUCAAUAGUGAAAGACGGUUUUGCUGUCACUUAUAGAUUGAUCCGCGCCGCAUUAGCUAGUUGGUAAGGUAAAGGCUUACCAAGGCGACGAUGCGUAGCCGACCUGAGAGGGUGAUCGGCCACACUGGAACUGAGACACGGUCCAGACUCCUACGGUAGGCAGCAGUAGGGAAUCUUACGCAAUGGGCGAGAGCCUGACGUAGCAACGCCGCGUGAGUGAUGAAGGUCUUCGGAUCGUAAAACUCUGUUAUUAGGGAAGAACAAAUGUGUAAGUAACUAUGCACGUCUUGACGGUACCUAAUCAGAAAGCCACGGCUAACUACGUG